rnacentral:misc_RNA from 1 species
AACAUCGCGCACCUGCGGGAACCUGCGGAAGGAUCAUUACCGAGUUUACAACUCCCAAACCCAUGUGAACAUACCUAUCGUUGCUUCGGCGGGAUCGCCCCGGGCGCCUCGUGUGCCCCGGAUCCGGCGCCCGCCUAGGAACCUUAACUCUUGUUUUAUUUUGGAAUCUUCUGAGUAGUUUUUACAAAUAAAUAAAAACUUUCAGCAAUGGAUCU